CUAAAAUUUUUGAAUUUAGCGGAUUUGGCGGCAAGAUAGCCCAUUUAGAGGAACCUGCCCUAUAAACGAUGGACCACGAGCUACUUCACUUUCCUUUGUAACCAGCUUGUAUACCGCUGUUGUCAGUCAGUUUUAGUAGGAAACUUUCCAUAAUGGUAGAACCAUUGACUUCAAGUAAAGGUGCAGCUUAUGGGAAAGCAAGAGGUGGGUUACAAUUUAUUGAAAAAUUUAUACGGAUAAUAAGAUGAAAAUUUAUUUGAAGGUGGAUUUAAUAGUAAAGUUUUUGAGAACUUGAUCGGAGCUCUAACUUGUG
rnacentral:rRNA from 1 species